rnacentral:rRNA from 1 species
AGUGAACGCUGGCGGCGUGCCUAACACAUGCAAGUCGAGCGGCAGGACAGUAAGAGUGCGCCCCUACUGUUGGCGGGUGGCGGGUGGGUGAGGCGUACAUAACAUACUACUAAGUCGGGGGUGAUAACGGAAGACAGCAGCUACUAAUACCUCAUAUGUUGUACCGGUGGGAGCAGAGGAGAAACACAGUUUGGGUGACUGUAUUAGACGAUGUCGCGCUGCAUUGGCUAGUUGGUAAGGUAACGGCACACCAAGGCAACGAUGCGUAGCCGACCUGAGAGGGUGAUCGGCCACACUGGAACUGAGACACGGUCCAGACUCCUACGGGAGGCAGCAGUAGGGAAUCUUCGACAAUGGGCGCAAGCCUGACGCAGCAACGCCGCGUGGGUGAUGAAGGUCUUCGGAUCGUAAAGCCCUUUUAUUAGGAAAGAACAGAUGCGGGAUAAUCCGCGGAUGUUCUGACGGUACCUAAUCAAUAAGCCCCGGCUAACUUCGUG